GACGAACGCUGGCGGCGUGCCUAAUACAUGCAAGUCGAACGCUUCUUUCCUCCCGAGUGCUUGCCCUCAAUUGGAAAGAGGAGUGGCGGACGGGUGAGUAACACGUGGGUAACCUACCCAUCAGAGGGGGAUAACACUUGGAAACAGGUGCUAAUACCGCAUAACAGUUUAUGCCGCAUGGCAUAAGAGUGAAAGGCGCUUUCGGGUGUCGUUGAUGGAUGGACCCGCGGUGCAUUAGCUAGUUGGUGAGGUAACGGCUCACCAAGGCCACGAUGCAUAGCCGACCUGAGAGGGUGAUCGGCCACACUGGGACUGAGACACGGCCCAGACUCCUACGGGAGGCAGCAGUAGGGAAUCUUCGGCAAUGGACGAAAGUCUGACCGAGCAACGCUGCGUGAGUGAAGAAGGUUUUCGGAUCGUAAAACUCUGUUGUUAGAGAAGAACAAGGACGUUAGUAACUGAACGUCCCCUGACGGUAUCUAACCAGAAAGCCACGGCUAACUACGUG
rnacentral:rRNA from 1 species